rnacentral:rRNA from 1 species
GACGAACGCUGGCGGCGUGCUUAACACAUGCAAGUCGAACGGAGUGGCGAACGGGUGAGUAACACGUGGGUGAUCUGCCUUGCACUUCGGGAUAAGCUUGGGAAACUGGGUCUAAUACCGGAUAGUGCAAGAUGAGCUCGCGGCCUUUCAGCUUGUUGGUGGGGUAAUGGCCUACCAAGGCGUCGACGGGUAGCCGGCCUGAGAGGGUGUACGGCCACAUUGGGACUGGGAUACGGCCCAGACGCCUACUGGAGGCAGCAGUGGAGAAUAUGUCACAAUGGGCGGAAGACUGAUGCUGCGACGCCGCGGGGGUGAGGAAGGCAUUCGGGUUGUAAACUACUGUCGACAGGGACGCGGUACCUGUAUAAGUAGCACCGGCUAACUACGUGCCAGCAGCCGCGGUAAUUC